GACAUUUCACUCAUGCAGACAACAUGCUGCUGUUUACCUUUCUCGUUGCAACUUCACUUUGGUCCCGUGGAGAUGCGCAGGCUGCACCAGUGCAAAGCCCUGCAGAGCUCUGGCUGCUGGAGGGCAGCUCAGUCACCAUGACAUGCCAGCUGAGUAGUGGCACCGUUGUGCACUGGUACAGGCAGCUUCCUGGGGAGCCACCCAAGAGGAUACUGUACAUGUAUGGAUACUCACCUACCUUUGAUGACAGCAACGAUAGGCAGAAGUUUCAAGUGCAGAGAAAUCCUUCCAACUCUGUUCUGAUAAUAAAGAAAACAACCCAGCGGGAUACUGGUACUUACUAUUGUGCAUACUGGUAUAGGCAAGGCUUCACAGCGUUAGAUGGGCAAAGAUAAGCCAUACAAAAAGGCAUUUGGCACUCUGAACCUCAAGCUCUGAACUCCCACAAGUUGCAAGUUUGUCUCUAUGCCACCUUUCUCUGGUGAUUUUCUGCAGCAGGAUAGGAAAAGCAAAAGAUAAGCAUGGCCAAUGCAAAAUGGAUUCUGUUAAUUACUAUUCAGAACAUGUUUUCCAUACUGGUACAUGCCAGUAUGGCAUGUGACAUGCAGAAGCUGGACGUUCUUAAUCGUUUAAGGUUAAAAAUUGGUGACUUUGCAGUUAUGUUGAAGAACUGACUGUACUCAGAGCACACACCUGACAGUGAGCACAGAAUGUCUGUGCCUGUGAACAAAGAGGAGCUGUAAAUUUCCAUUCUUUAUUAAAAUCCAUGGAGCAAGCAGACAAACAUAUCUCUAUCUCCUCGGGGCCCUCACUUGAUAGGAGGCAUACAUGUGAAACACUGAGAGAAAAAUACAUGAUCUUCUACAUCCUCCUUCAUAUUUUCUUCUGAUGGCUUCCUUAACAUUUCAGCCUUUUUUCAACAUGCUAGGA